rnacentral:sRNA from 1 species
AUAGAGCCGCCAUCUUCUCUCGUCCAACAGCGAUAAGCU